AACGAACGCUGGCGGCAUGCCUAACACAUGCAAGUCGAACGAAGGCUUCGGCCUUAGUGGCGCACGGGUGCGUAACGCGUGGGAAUCUGCCCUUGGGUUCGGAAUAACAGUGGGAAACCGCUGCUAAUACCGGAUGAUGACGUAAGUCCAAAGAUUUAUCGCCCAAGGAUGAGCCCGCGUAGGAUUAGCUAGUUGGUGGGGUAAUGGCCCACCAAGGCGACGAUCCUUAGCUGGUCUGAGAGGAUGAUCAGCCACACUGGGACUGGGACACGGCCCAGACUCCUACGGGAGGCAGCAGUGGGGAAUAUUGGACAAUGGGCGAAAGCCUGAUCCAACAAUGCCGCGUGAGUGAUAAAGGCCUUAGGGUUGUAAAGCUCUUUUACCCGGGAUGAUAAUGACAGUACCGGGAGAAUAAGCUCCGGCUAACUCCGUGCCAGCCGCCGCCGUAAUAC
rnacentral:rRNA from 1 species